rnacentral:rRNA from 1 species
GACAGAGGAUGCAAGCGUUAUCCGGAAUGAUUGGGCGUAAAGCGUCUGUAGGUGGCUUUUAAGUCCGCCGUCAAAUCCAGGCUCAACCCUGGACAGGCGGUGGAAACUACCAAGCUGGAGUACGGUAGGGCAGAGGGAAUUUCCGGUGGAGCGGUGAAAUUGCGUAGAGGAUACGGAAAGAACACCAACGGCGAAAGGCACUCUGCUGGCCGACACUGACACUGAGAGACGAAAGCUAGGGAGCGAAUGGAUUAGAACCUACCGAGUCAGAUCCAAGUCCAUCUGUCA